rnacentral:rRNA from 1 species
AAUUUUGGACAAUGGGGGAAACCCUGAUCCAGCCAUCCCGCGUGUAUGAUGAAGGCCUUCGGGUUGUAAAGUACUUUGGGCAGAGAAGAAAAGGUACCUCCUAAUACUAGGUACUGCUGACGGUAUCUGCAGAAGAAGCACCGGCUAACUCCGUGCCAGCAGCCGCGGUAAUACGUAGGGCGCAAGCGUUAAUCGGAAUUACUGGUCGUAAAGCGUAUGUAGGCAGUUAGGAAAGAAAGAUGUGAAAUCACAGGGCUCAACCUUGGAACUGCAUUUUUAACUGCCGAGCUAGAGUAUGUCAGAGGGGGGUAGAAUUCCACGUGUAGCAGUGAAAUGCGUAGAUAUGUGGAGGAAUACCGAUGGCGAAGGCAGCCCCCUGGGAUAAUACUGACGCUCAGACACGAAAGCGUGGGGAGCAAACA